UCUGACAGUUGUGAAAACAAAUUGUUCUGAUUAUGUUUUGUUUUAACUUUUCUAACAGAAUCAAAAGGGUUAUUCUAAAGGAGAAGAUUUGAAAGACUGGAAAUUCACUUGCAUACCACAGCUUCUUGAAGCCAAGAAAGAACUAAACAAGGGUCACAGGUUGCUAUUUUCUGAAGACAGCUGCUGUCAUCCAGCCCCUGCAGCUCCAGCCCUGCACCUCUUGCCUGUAUCCAUCAUUGCAUCUCUGGCCCCUGCUGCAUCAGUUGACCUGAUUUUGUUUGUAAUCAAGUUCAAAUUCAUUUGUGAGCU